AUGUUGCGGUCAUUAUGUCUCGAUACAUUUAAAAGGAGUGGGAGGCCGACUGAAAACUACACGCUUAUGAAUACUGGAAAGGCGCACAUAUGGCGUGAAGUACUCCAUACCUACAAUAUUAUGCCUCCUCUGAGCCCAAGAUCGAAAACGAGGAGGAGGAUCACCUCACUAAGUGGUGUAAAUACCACAAAAUUAAAAGUCACCAUACAGAUGAUUGUCACCAAUUGA